rnacentral:misc_RNA from 1 species
UGACUUGAAACAUUCUCUCUUUGAGGAUGAGUUAGAGAAAGAAAAACUUAGAAAGCAGGUAUUCCAGUUAAAGGGUGAUCUGAAGAAGAAGGAUGAUGCUAUCACUAGUAUCGAGAAGAAGCUCAAGGAAAGCAGCAAACUCACAGCAGUUUCUGAUAAUACAAAAACUGCUCUAAGAAACAAUAAGUCUGCUCCAGUUCCUCAUGGCUCUAAAGAGGCUGCAAAUCUGUGGGAGAAAAUAAGAUUGCUUGAGGGACAGAUAAAGCUAAAGGAAGCUGCUUUAGAAACCUCGGCAAAUUCAUUUUUGAAAAAGGAAAGGGAUCUUUUAAAUAAAAUUGAAGAGUUAGAGCAUAGAGUAGAAGAACUCAAUCAAAACAGUGCA